GUUCUAUUGCCCUUUUAAAGUCUGUAAUUAUUCUGUGUAUUUGUUUUUCUGUAAUGGAUUAAUGCACCUGUAUGUCUUUGAGGCUCUCUAAGAUGUACAUUUCUGCUCUGAGUCCAUUUAUGUCAUCUGCUCUCUGUGGUUAGACAGUUUGGCCAGGGUAGUUUCAGCACGCAAGCGGUAAAAAUAAUUAAAACUAAUUUCUUUGCAGGAGAAGCUUUUGAUUACUCCCAAGUUUUCGGUGGAAUUGUGCCGUGGGAUUCCAGACGCCACCUGUCGGGGCUGCUGAAGGCUGCGAGCAGCCGUGGGGAGGGCAGGUGUUACCAAUAACAACGCAAGAAAGUUUAAUACCACGGAGAGUACCAUGGAGCAUAAAGAAUCGGUUUUCUCCGGGCUGAUCUCAUAACUCCUUUAUAAACAGCUGAAGAUAAUAACUUUCCUAAGGGG